GAAGGAUCAUUACUGAGAAUGGGCAACUAUUUUAAGUUUUUUAUAUCCCAUUGUUUACUUACCCUGUUGCUUUCACUGGACAGAUUUCACCUUGUGUGGGUCCUUUGGCUUGUGUGAAAUACCACUUGCCAAAGAGUUGCCAGUGGUAAGACCUAUUUAUCAAAACUUGAGUUUCAAUAAACACAACUGUCUGAAUAUUUUUUUUCUUUAAUGAAAUAAAACUUUCAACAACGGAUCUCUAGGCUCUUGCAUCGAUGAAGAACGCAGUGAAAUGCGAUAAGUAAUGUGAAUUGCAGAAUCUCGUGAAUCAUUGAAUCUUUGAACGCACAUUGCGCCCUAUGGUAUUCCAUUGGGCAUGCCUGUCUGAGCGUCAGCUCCCCCUCCACUCAAGAAUUAUUUUAUAUAAUACUUGGAUUACUUUGGAGAUGUAACUGUAUAUUAAGUUGCCCUCCUUAAAUUCAUUGGCUGGUAUGGUUUGUACUUGGACCAGACGUAAUAGUAAUAAAAUCGUUUGUUUGGGCCCUUGUAAUUGAAUUGUACUUGCCUUAACCCCCACCCAUUUUUAUUUUGGGUGACCUCAGUUCCAUGCCUUUCCGGGAUACCCGCUGAACUUAAGCAUAUCA
rnacentral:rRNA from 1 species